rnacentral:rRNA from 1 species
UGAGACACGGCCCAGACUCCUACGGGAGGCAGCAGUGGGGAAUAUUGCACAAUGGGCGGAAGCCUGAUGCAGCAACGCCGCGUGCGGGAUGACGGCCUUCGGGUUGUAAACCGCUUUCAGUUCCGACGAAGCGAAAGUGACGGUAGGAACAGAAGAAGGACCGGCCAACUACGUGCCAGCAGCCGCGGUGAUACGUAGGGUGCGAGCGUUGUCCGGAUUUAUUGGGCGUAAAGGGCUCGUAGGUGGUUGAUCGCGUCGGAAGUGUAAUCUUGGGGCUUAACCCUGAGCGUGCUUUCGAUACGGGUUGACUUGAGGAAGGUAGGGGAGAAUGGAAUUCCUGGUGGAGCGGUGGAAUGCGCAGAUAUCAGGAGGAACACCAGUGGCGAAGGCGGUUCUCUGGGCCUUUCCUGACGCUGAGGAGCGAAAGCGUGGGGAGCGAACAGGCUUAGAUACCCUGGUAGUCCACGC